AUUAUUUUAAUAUGAAGAACACCUCAGCCGCAGAGCAUAAUUUAAUGGAAGUUUAUAGUAAAUAUGUUCUAGCUGAGUGAACGUGCUAAAAGUGAUUUGCCUGAUUUAAAAAAUGUCAUUUUGGCUUUGAAGACGGCGGCCAAAAAGGUUUGAAAAUGGGAAACUGAAAGCAUUACUCCACGGAGAUUGUUGCCGAUUACGAGAAGGGCUUGCAGCUAACUCAAGCAGCGACAACUAUAAAGUUAAAAAAUAACUACAACCAAUUUUAUUUCGCCUCCAUAUUAACGUCAAGAACCACUGAUACAAGUUUAGUGUCACUGCUGCGCAAACAAACCAACCAAGACGAUAUAAACUACAGUUGGAAAAAAUGUUGCCAUUGCAAUGCUCGACAACUUCUGACUUUUCGACUUGAACAAGUGGAAAAACUGAAUGAAGCGAAACGUUAUCAAAGCAGCGGCAGCAGCAACAGCAGCAGAAGUAGUUGUAGCAGCAGUCUAACUAGCUGAAACAGCAAUCUGACCGAAAGUAUCUCCGUUCGGCCAAAUGUGGCAGAUCAAAGUUGUAUUAUGCCACACUCCACUUGCAGAAAGUGCAAAAGUCACCUCGAACGAGCAACACAGUCGCACAACAACAAAGCAACAACCGACAACGCACACACACACGCCUGCAUUGCACUUGUGAAAGCCUUUUUUUGCGCACAGACAAAGUCAAUGUUGGCUUACAAUGUGAAAAAGAAGUAUAAAUGCAAAAAAAAAAUAAAUAAAAAAAAAUAACGGUAAA